GCUGCUGGCUACGGACAGGAAAUCAGUGGUACUUCUCUGGAUUUGUGUUACUGAUAAUUCUGGUCAAUAUGAUCCUGUUCGCUAAAACGUUCUGGAAAUUGAAUGAGCAGCUUUCUGAGCGCAACACGCAAGUAUCAAAAAUCAAAGAUACCAGAAUGCUGACAUUUAAAAUCCUUCUACAGCUGUUUAUCCUGGGAUGUCCCUGGAUUACUGGAUUUUUUAAUAACAGUGAAACACUGGAAUACAUAUUCAUUAUAUUCACACCUCUCCAGGGUUUCCUGAUCUUCCUUGUCCUGUGUGUUUUCAGUCCUGAGAACAUAACCAGCACAUAGACCGAAGGAGUGGUAUGAGUUAUUUUUAAUUCAGACUCAAGCAAAUUAUAAGUUCUGUGAAGAAGAUAUUUUAAAUGUUCAUUUCUUAAACAGUUUAUUCUGUCAAAUAAUAUUAUUGGUAGUAUCUGAUCUUAGGGUAAAUAUAGAAAUGAAAAGUGUGCUCAAGGUGGUGUGAACAACACUGACACGAGAUUAAUUUCCUGUACUUUGCUAUGAUGCAUUGCUGUUAAGGCAAAUUACCAGAGUCUACCUUUAUAUAUUGAAGAUGUUUUCUCAGGGUCAUCAUUCUCUGUUUCUCUUUUUAAGAGGAGCAAGAAGAACUUGAGAAAUCAUCUCACCUACAGACAGCACCACAGGCAGUGUUGCAAAGGAACUGUGCAGAAAAGCUGUCAGGAUUUUUAACUGCCUUUUGCUGUGUAUUUUUUAAUGGACAGAUUAUAUGGCAGUGCUGUGCCAAGUUUUUGUAUUUUGCUUCCUUAUGUUCCAAAUAAAUUAGAAUAUGUAGUUUAGCUGUA